GUUGGAGUCAAAGUUAAUGAAGAAUGAUGGGCAGCUGAAAGGUGGAGGCUUUACUAUUCCUUAUCAGCACCCCAUCACCCACCACCAAGUGAAAGAUUGCAAUAAUGGAAGUAUAUCCAUAACUGAUAAUCAUGUUUCACCACACUCAAUAGUGUUUCCCAAGAAGCUGUGUUUCUUGGAGAGUGAAUUGAAUGCAAACAAACAUGACUUGUUUGUCCAAAGAGCCCUACAAACACCCCCAUUUGAUUUGCCACCAGAUUACAAGAGAAUUAAG